rnacentral:lncRNA from 1 species
CUACGAGUGUAUGUUAAAACAGGUUCGUAAUGAGAGUUCGUUACAUUACACUCAUCUGAAAUUGACAAAGGAACACAUGGAUGCAGCGGAGAAGGCCCUGGCUUGUGCUUGGAACGUUGUUGGCAACUUCCACUACCUACAUUCAGGCACUCGACGAUACUGCUGC